rnacentral:rRNA from 1 species
CCUGAUGCAGCGACGCCGCGUGAGGGAUGACGGCCUUCGGGUUGUAAACCUCUUUCAGUAGGGAAGAAGCGAAAGUGACGGUACCUGCAGAAGAAGCGCCGGCUAACUACGUGCCAGCAGCCGCGGUAAUACGUAGGGCGCAAGCGUUAUCCGGAAUUAUUGGGCGUAAAGAGCUCGUAGGCGGUUUGUCGCGUCUGCCGUGAAAGUCCGGGGCUCAACUCCGGAUCUGCGGUGGGUACGGGCAGACUAGAGUGAUGUAGGGGAGACUGGAAUUCCUGGUGUAGCGGUGAAAUGCGCAGAUAUCAGGAGGAACACCGAUGGCGAAGGCAGGUCUCUGGGCAUUAACUGACGCUGAGGAGCGAAAGCAUGGGGAGCGAACAGGAUUAGAUACCCUGGUAGUCCAUGCCGUAAACGUUGGGCACUAGGUGUGGGGGACAUUCCACGUUUUCCGCGCCGUAGCUAACGCAUUAAGUGCCCCGCCUGGGGAGUACGGCCGCAAGGCUAAAACUCAAAGGAAUUGACGGGGGCCCGCACAAGCGGCGGAGCAUGCGGAUUAAUUCGAUGCAACGCGAAGAACCUUACCAAGGCUUGACAUGAACCGGAAACACCUGGAAACAGGUGCCCCGCUUGCGGUC